GAAAUGCGAUAAGUAAUGUGAAUUGCAGAAUUCAGUGAAUCAUCGAAUCUUUGAACGCACAUUGUGCCCGCCAGUAUUCUGGCGGGCAUGCCUGUUCGAGCGUCAUUACAACCCUCAGGCCCCCGGGCCUGGCGUUGGGGAUCGGCGGAAGCCCCCUGCGGGCACAACGCCGUCCCCCAAAUACAGUGGCGGUCCCGCCGCAGCUUCCAUUGCGUAGUAGCUAACACCUCGCAACUGGAGAGCGGCGCGGCCACGCCGUAAAACACCCAACUUCUGAAUGUUGACCUCGAAUCAGGUAGGAAUACCCGCUGAACUUAAGC
rnacentral:misc_RNA from 1 species